rnacentral:tRNA from 1 species
CCUGCCCCGGACGGUUCAGGUUGAGGAUGCUGCAAGCAUCCUCAUUGAACCAGUUGUUCCCGAUGACGUUGUGCGGGUCGGCGGGACGAGA